rnacentral:rRNA from 1 species
CUGUCUCAACCGUGAGCUCAGUGAAAUUGUAGUAUCGGUGAAGAUGCCGAUUACCCGCGAUGGGACGAAAAGACCCCGUGAACCUUUACUAUAGCUUAACAUUGAAUUUGGGUAAUUGAUGUGUAGGAUAGGCCGGAGGCUUCGAAGCAGGUACGCCAGUAUUUGUGGAGCCGCUGUUGAAAUACGGCCCUUUGAUUAUUUGAGUUCUAACCCGUUGAUGCGGGGACACUGUUUGGUGGGUAGUUUGACUGGGGUGGUCGCCUCCAAAAGUGUAACGGAGGCUUCUAAAGGUGCCCUCACGACGAUUGGUAACCGUCGGCAGAGUGUAAUGGCAUAAGGGCGCUUGACUGGGAGACUUACAAGUCGAUCAGGUAGGAAACUAGAGCAUAGUGAUCCGGUGUUUCUGUAUGGAAAGGACAUCGCUCAAAGGAUAAAAGGUACUCCGGGGAUAACAGGCUGAUACCGCCCAAGAGUUCAUAUCGACGGCGGUGUUUGGCACCUCGAUGUCGGCUCAUCACAUCCUGGGGCUGAAGUAGGUCCCAAGGGUAUGGCUGUUCGCCAUUUAAAGUGGUACGCGAGCUGGGUUUAGAACGUCGUGAGACAGUUCGGUCCCUAUCUGCCGUGGGCGCUGGAGAACUGAGGGGGGCUGCUCCUAGUACGAGAGGACCGGAGUGGACGCAUCACUGGUGUUCGGGUUGUCAUGCCAAUGGCACUGCCCGGUAGCUAAAUGCGGAAGAGAUAAGUGCUGAAAGCAUCUAAGCACGAAACUUGCCCCGAGAUGAGUUCUCCCUGAGACUUAGAGUCUCCUGAAGGAACGUUGAAGACGACGACGUUGAUAGGCCGGGUGUGUAAGCGCAGCGAUGCGUUGAGCUAACCGGUACUAAUGAACCGUGAGGCUUAACCUU